CCCUUUCUUGCGCUAAUGCCCUUCCAUUCCUCGUUUCCUUAUAAUCGGCGUUCUCAGAAGACAAAUUAAAAUCAAUAAAGAGCUAAAAUUAGAAAAGAGAGAUUUAAAGCAAACUGGAAGGAAGGCAAACAGUUGCAGAAGUUGAGUUAGGGUGCCUCAAACAAGGAGACCUCUGUUUUGCUAAUCUAUUGCAGGUAUUCAUUUCCUUAUUUUGUAUCUCUAUGGUAUUUUCUGUGUGUGUGUGUGUGUGUUUUUAGUGUUUAUUGUGCUUCAGAAGAACUUUUUGGUCAUAUUGUAUUGAAGAUAGAAUAAAAUUUAGAAUCUUCGUUUUGCAAUGUAUAACGUGAUCCAUAGCAAAUGCGAUUGCCGAUGCACUGUAUAUCAAUUCAAACUAUAUAAUGUUUUUUCUGUAGGAAGUACCAAAUGGACACAUUGGUCGAAUACUACUGAGUGAAGGUCAAGUGUUUGAUUGAAUUGUAUUCAUUGUUUUAGGGGACAGAGGUUAUUUCAUUGUAUGGAUUCACUUCCACACUUUACUUUCCUGUUUUAGGGAUUAUAUGCUUUUUAAGCGGUUAGUUUUCUGCCAAACGCUAUGCAUCGUAUACUGCAUAUCAAUUCUAACUGUAUAAUAUUUUUUCCUAUAGGAAGGAUCAAUUGGACACAAUGGUCGAAUACAACAGAGUGAAGGUCAAGUGUUUGAUUGAAUUUACUAAAGGGUUUAUGCGUAGGUAAGGUCAAACUUCUGUUAUUGAUUCGAAGAAAUGAUCAAAAGAGCUUUAUUUGCCCGAGAAGUGGGCGUUUCCAAUGAUAAUGCA
rnacentral:lncRNA from 1 species